rnacentral:rRNA from 1 species
UACGUAGGGGGCAAGCGUUGUCCGGAUUUACUGGGCGUAAAGAGCGCGCAGGCGGUCGUUCAAGUCGAGUGUGAAAGCCCCCGGCUCAACUGGGGAGGGUCACGCGAUACUGAUCGACUCGAAGGCAGGAGAGGGUAGUGGAAUUCCCGGUGUAGUGGUGAAAUGCGUAGAUAUCGGGAGGAACACCAGUGGCGAAGGCGACUACCUGGCCUGUUCUUGACGCUGAGGCGCGAAAGCUAGGGGAGCAAACGGG